AACAUCGCGCACCUGCGGGAACCUGCGGAGGGAUCAUUACUUUCAGUACUUUGGGGGCUGUAAGCCUGUAUUCGUACAGUGAGCCUCCGUCUGAAACCCUUGUCUUUUGCGUACCUAUUGUUUCCUCGGCGGGCUUGCCCGCCGUUUGGACAACCUUAAAACCUUUUUGAUUUUCAAUCAGCGUCUGAAUAAAUUUAAAUAUUUACAACUUUUAACAACGGAUCUCAGAUCGGAAGAGCA
rnacentral:misc_RNA from 1 species